rnacentral:rRNA from 1 species
UACGUAGGUGGCGAGCGUUGUCCGGAUUUACUGGGCGUAAAGAGCGCGCAGGCGGUCGUACAAGUCGCGUGUGAAAGCCCCCGGCUCAACUGGGGAGGGUCACGCGAUACUGUUCGACUCGAAGGCAGGAGAGGGUAGUGGAAUUCCCGGUGUAGUGGUGAAAUGCGUAGAUAUCGGGAGGAACACCAGUGGCGAAGGCGGUCUGCUGGGCCGUUGCUGACGCUGAGGCGCGACAGCGUGGGGAGCAAACAGG